GACGAACGCUGGCGGCGUGCUUAACACAUGCAAGUCGAACGGAAAGGCCCCUUUGGGGGUACUCGAGUGGCGAACGGGUGAGUAACACGUGAGUAACCUGCCCUUGACUUCGGGAUAACUUCAGGAAACUGGGGCUAAUACCGGAUAGGAAUCCUUGCUGCAUGGUGGGGGUUGGAAAGCUUCGGCGGUUUUGGAUGGACUCGCGGCUUAUCAGCUUGUUGGUGGGGUAGUGGCUUACCAAGGCUUUGACGGGUAGCCGGCCUGAGAGGGUGACCGGCCACAUUGGGACUGAGAUACGGCCCAGACUCCUACGGGAGGCAGCAGUGGGGAAUAUUGCACAAUGGGCGGAAGCCUGAUGCAGCAACGCCGCGUGCGGGAUGACGGCCUUCGGGUUGUAAACCGCUUUCAGAAGGGGCGAAGCUUGUGGUGACGGUACCUGCAGAAGAAGCACCGGCUAACUACGUG
rnacentral:rRNA from 1 species